rnacentral:rRNA from 1 species
UACGAAGGGGGGCUAGCGUUGCUCGGAAUCACUGGGCGUAAAGCGCACGUAGGCGGCUUUUUAAGUCAGGGGUGAAAUCCUGGAGCUCAACUCCAGAACUGCCUUUGAUACUGAGAAGCUUGAGUCCGGGAGAGGUGAGUGGAACUGCGAGUGUAGAGGUGAAAUUCGUAGAUAUCGGGAGGAACACCAGUGGCGAAGGCGGCGAUCUGGGAACAUACUGACGCUGAGGUGCGAAAGCGUGGGGAGCAAACAGG